GUAAGUUGCAGCUUUUUCUUAUUCAGUAUGAAUAACUGAUGUGCCGGCAGCACCCAUUUUCUACGGAGUGCUAGUCAACAUAUGUGCUGGAAUGCAUGUGAACCUUAGGAGUUAUGAGAGGCGAACAGAGGGAGAGGAGACAGAAAAAGAGGAAAAGAUUCAAAAGAUCAGUUUAUGGGCAAUAUCAGAAUUUGACAGCUGGUUCACUCUUUUAUGUGAUAUUGAAGUUCAGACUUGUGUGUGGAUCCAACAGUUAAGUGCCUCUGUAUCCAUUGUAAGAAUUUUUUUGCUUUCUUAUUAUUGCUUGCUAGCUAGUAAUCUGGUGAUGAAGCCCAUCAAUGUUGUUAAAUGGGAUGAGGCGAAGGGAAGCGUUGAGCUUGUCAAGUGAGGUGGAAUGAAGCGUAAGCUUGAAGACAAAUUCAUAAAGUAUGUAUAUUUAUCACAAUACCUUCUAUGUGCACAUACGGAUAUGAUUUCCAAGUCUUCAUAUCUUAUCUUGGUAAGACAAGCCCGACGUAGAGAUCCCAUUUAUAUUUUUUAUUUAAUUCAAAUUUAAUGUUUUAAAGACCAACAAUGUUUUUUAAAUUUGGGAGCAAAAUAAUCAACUUUUUUUGGGCAUCGAUCGCAAGCACCGUUUCAGAAAAACAAAAUUUUGGCAUGUAAGAAAAAAAAAAAGAAAUAUUGAGAGACUCGUGCCACCAACCCAAAGGACCCAAGGCAGCAAACUUACUGGAUGAUGUAUUGUAUUAAAUGUAUAUUGUGCCAGUUAAAAAAAAAAAGGUUAACCACAAUUUUCUUUUUUCAACUGCAAUUAAGGGAGGGAUGGUCGCUUCGUCUCCCAUUUAGGAAGUCACGGAUACGUGGCGAAACGCUUUCCCACGUGGCCAGGGCAUUCCAUUUCAUGACUUUCUUUGUUCGAAGUGGUUUCGAAAUGUUAACAGACAGACGCCCUUUCUGUCGUUCUACUGUGCCAUCAACCUCCGUUUCGCCGUUCUCCGGCUCCUUUCCACCGUUCCUCCAGAAGCGACCGUCCAGCAAGGUUUCGCUUCAAGGAUUCGCAGCUUGCAGGCCUUGGUUUUAGCUUUUUUCUUACCUCGUUGGUACUGUUCCUCAAAAUUUUUCUGCGCUCCCUCGUCUCACAUUGAACU